rnacentral:miRNA from 1 species
CGCCCCCUAUACGUCAUCAUUGAGUAAACUUUGACCCGGAACCUCACAGUCAGCAGACACUUCCUGGGAGGGAGUUUCUGCUGCUGAUUGGGUGGAAUGUGUCUGCUGGCUGUGAGGUUCCGGGUCAAAGUUUACUCAAUGAUGACGUAUAGGGGGCG